rnacentral:lncRNA from 1 species
GCUUGAGAAGAUAUGAAAUGUGUUGGAGAAAAUCACUCUUGAAAGCUCUCAGAAAUCAGUACAUAAAUUUCUCUUUCUCACUUUUCAAAAAUAUUCAAUGAUGCUCACACAAAAUAGAGUAUUUUCCUCUCUAAUCCUCCUUAUGAAGGAAAGCCAGGGCAGUUCAUGCAAGAUUUUCAAAAAAUUUCAUGCAAUGGAAGUAAACCUGAUUAAACUAUUUAAUCUACCAUGCACUAGAUCUAAUCUAUAACUACCUAAGCCAGGAUCUUAUGAUGUAAACAUGCAUGUAUAAUCUAAAAAUAAUAUAAAAAAUAAUUAGAUCUAAUCAAAUUAUGAUAGAGAUUGGAUCUCUAUACCUGAGUGUGGAUCGAAGAUCACCAUAGCUGAUAUCCAUAGAUUUUAGAUUCUUCCUAGCCGUACAUGUAUUCGACCUCUACAAAUAUCCAUACAAAGCACGAUC